AUGAAGCAGACAGUGGUCCUGUACCCCGGCGCUGGGGUCGGUCACGUUCGCCCCAUGACAGAGCUCGCCAACAUAUUUCUCAAGCAGGGCUACGACGUCACCAUGGUGCUCGUCGAGCUCCCUUUAAGUUGCCAGACUCCGGCCACCACCGCCAUUGAGCACAUUGCCCCCUCCAACCCGUCCAUCUCCUUCCAUGUCCUUCCGUCCAUCCAUGCUCCAGACUUUGCCGCCUCCGGCAAGCACCCUUUCUUACUCAUGCUCGAGCACUUGCACUAUUACAACGAGAAGUUCGAAGCAUUCCUCCGCGCCAUCGACCGGAAAAGCUUGCACUCUGUUGUCCUCGACAUGUUCUGCAUCGACUCCACUAACGUUUGCAUGAAUCUCGGUGUCCCGGUCUACACAUUCUUCGCAGCGAGCGCCUCGUGCCUGUCAGCCCUAACCCAGCUCCCGACACUGAUUGCCGGCAGGCAUAGGGGCUUGAAGGAACUCGGGGACACGCCCCUCAAUUUCGUCGGCGUUCCGCAAAUGCCAGCGUCUCAUCUCAUCAAGGAACUACUAGAGGACCCUGAAGAUGAGAUGUGCAAUGCCAUGAUGAACAUCUGGAAGCGCAACACGCAGACCAUGGGCGUUGUCCUGAACACGUUCAAGUCAUUGGAGAGUCUGGCGGUGCAGUCUCUGAGGGGCCCGCUCUGCGUUCCUCGAAGUUCUGGCGGCGAAAGGAUCCUGCCUCCGAUCUACUGUGUUGGUCCAUUGGUCGGCAAGGGCGCCAAAGAUGAUGACAAAGUAGAGAGGAACGAAUGCCUCGAGUGGCUUGACGUGCAGCUCGGCCGUAGUGUCGUGUUCUUCUGUUUGGGGAGCAAGGGCGCCCUCUCUAAAGAGCAGCUGAAGGAGAUAGCCGUUGGCUUGGAGAGGUCAGGGUAGCGGGUCCUAUGGUCCGUGCGCAGACCUGCUAGAAGCGACGACCUAGGGAAAUACUUGAAAGUGGGCCUUGAGCCAGACCUUGGCGCACUCCUGCCUCAAGGGUUCUUAGAGCGGACCAAGGGCAGGGGCCUGGUCAUCAAUUCGUGGGCGCCGCAGAUGGACGUGCUCGGCCACAGGGCAACCGGUGCGUUCGUAACGCACUGCGGAUGGAACUCGGUACUGGAGGCCGUUGUGGUUGGAGUGCCAAUGUUGUGUCUGCCACUGGAAGCGGAGCAGAAGAUGAACACGGUGUGUAUGACAGAGGACAUGGGCGUUGCUGUGGAGCUGGAGGGAUACAUGAUAGGAGUUAUCAAGGCAGAUGAGGUGGAGACCAAGGUGCAGCUGGUGAUUGAGGGCGAGGAAGGUAGUCAGCUCAGGGCCCGGCUAGCUUCUCUUAGGGAAGAGGCAGAGGCGGCCCUGCAGGAAGGGGGCUCGUCGCAGGCAGCGUUUGCCCAGUUUCAGUUGGAUGUGGAUAAUAUUGAAAAGUAG
rnacentral:rRNA from 1 species